rnacentral:rRNA from 1 species
UACGUAGGGGGCAAGCGUUGUCCGGAAUUAUUGGGCGUAAAGCGCGUGUAGGCGGCUCGGUAAGUCUGCUGUGAAAGUCCAGGGCUCAACCCUGGAAUGCCGGUGGAUACUGUCGAGCUCGAGUCCGGAAGAGGCGAGUGGAAUUCCCGGUGUAGCGGUGAAAUGCGCAGAUAUCGGGAGGAACACCUAUGGCGAAGGCAGCUCGCUGGGACGUUACUGACGCUGAGACGCGAAAGCGUGGGGAGCAAACAGG